rnacentral:lncRNA from 1 species
ACAAAUAGGCUUAUUUACUCAUUAAACUAUACUGGAAGAAUAAGUGAAUAUAUUUGAAAGUAAUAAUCCUGAAUUUCUUUUAAGCUAUUGUAUGAUUGAGUGGUUCUCAGGAAUGAGUACAUGAUUAUUGUGUUUAGCUAUAUAUUUGAGGCCUAAUUAACCAAUAUGUGAAUAACCAUCCAGGACCACUGUUAUCUUAACCUCUUGCUUUUCUCCCACUGUAAUAUAAAAAUGAUAAUGUCUGUUUCCAUGCAUAUGAACUCAAAUUCUUGGAGCUGCUUUAAAUGAAGGACUCCUGAGGUGUCUGAGCAGACAGAGCAGUCCCAGCUGAAGAACAUCUGAGGUGUCACUUUCCAUACUUAUCAGCCCUGGGCAACUUCCAGCACAGGACAGGGACAGUUCCCAAGGUCACUUCUAGCCCCAGGAUCCUCUGACUCGCUCCAGGCAUGAUUGCCAUGAUGAUUUCCAAGGAGGCAAGGAACACAUCGGAAGGACAGCCAAAUGUUGGUCAUCUUGACUAAUUCCUGGGACCGUGCAAGAAGACGGAAAAGUAUUUGUUUCCUCAGAUUAAUUUAUUUGAAAAGUGACAGCAGAAACCCUUUGUUCUUAAUAGUAAAGACUGUAGACUUAGAAAAUAAACCAAUCAUAUAUACUAUGGUACAAUCUAUAUAUUGGGAGAAUGGUAAUUUAGUGGGAGUUUCCCCUUAGAGAAAGAGCCUACUCAUUGCUUCUUUAUUUAAACUACUGAUUGACUAAGGAGUAUAAGAAAUUAAUACAAUGAAUUUCUUUUCUAGCAAAUGUCCCAGAACAUAUCCAUACAAAAGGGCCAACUACUGAGAAGCCAGAUUAUCUCAAUGCUGCUGGCCUUUCUCAGUGCGUGUUGAGAUGCCUCUCUGAAGCCUUUCUUCAUUGAAAUUGUUAUAUUUUUGGAACAAGCCAGCAAAAUUCCUUUUUUUUUUUAGUCAUUGAAACCCAUUUGGCAUCCAAAAUGUAACAUCUAGUACUUGGCUCUGUGUUACUUAGUCCUUGUGACUAAUUAUAAAAACCAUAUUUACAGAGAAAGAUGUACUCUUUAGAGCACCUCAGUGGUGAAAAACAAUAGUUAGUGCUUUAUUAGGUGAAACUUUUGAAAUGAGCAUCAGUCAUUUGGAACUUUAAAAAAGCCAUCACCCUUAGUUUUAUUAUGCUUUCCUGCAGUG